GUUGAGAGAGGAGGUUCCUGUAAGCCUGGAACUGCAGGAGACUGUUGAGAAGGAGAAAAUAAAAGUCCACUUUCUGAGCCUCACUAAGCACCCAUAGCAGAAACCAGGAGAUGAGGAGUUGCAAGAACCCAUACCACUGGUGCUGAUGAACCCAUGAAUAUCUUCUGGCAAGGUGGAGAGCUGUCCUCAGCAGAUCCAUGGCAGGAGCUGUGCCAUUUUAAGAUGCCUUCCUUGCUCUACCUCCCAGCCCAUUUUUCCCUUCUGAAGGUAAAAAAAAAAGGUUUUCAAAAGUGACUAGGAAGA
rnacentral:lncRNA from 1 species